rnacentral:tRNA from 1 species
GCCUCCGUAGUCUAAUUGGUAAGGACACUCACAUGGAAUGUAAGAGAUCCGGAUUCGACUCCCGGCCGAGGUA